AGUGCACGUACAUCUGCCUUUCAGGACCAGUAGUUCCUCUUUAGUGGCUUGUAAAUCGGCCGAAUGCUUCUCUUGCAUGGACUUCAGCUCCCAUUGAAGCUUGAUGUUUUGCGCCCGGAGGAAAUCGUUCUCGUCUUUAAGGGAAAUGGCAAUUACAGAAUGGCGCUUAUCGUUAAAGCUCAUGGAUCACCCGUCCCUUCCGAAGACAGUGAUGCAUUUUCCUGAGGCUGAGCCUGGAGAUGUAACUCCUGGGGGUUACCGAGUUGCCACUUUGAAACAGCUGGUUGCAGCCCAGUUACCCGAUUCAGUGCCGGACCCAGAUUUUAUAGAAUUGGUGUACUGCGGCCGUAAGCUGAAGGAUGACCUUACGCUGGACUCCUAUGGCAUCCAGCCAGGUUCCACUGUUCACAUCUUAAAGAAAUCCUGGCCAGAACCAGAGGUGAAGCCAGAGCCAGUGGACCGGACCACUGCUGCCAGGGAGUUCCGUGUGCUGCAGGCUGCCCUUCACACCAGCACUGCUUACAGAGACUCCGUAUUCAAGAUGCUGAACAAUAAGGAGUCUUUGGACCAGAUAAUAGUGGCCACACCAGGACUGAGCAGUGACCCAGUGGCGUUGGGUGUACUCCAAGACAAAGAUCUUUUUGUACAUUUUACAGACCCCAACAUGCUGGAUAUGUUGAUGAGUUCUCACCCCGCUCUGGUCAAUGCCAUCGUCCUGGUCCUGCACUCGGUGGCUGGCAGUGUCCCCACCCAGCAGGGCGCUGGCUCUUCUCGCAACGUUUCCUCCAGCUCCUAUAGCGACAUGCCAGGUGGAUUCCUGUUUGAGGGCAUGUCUGAUGAUGAGGAUGAUUUCCAGUCGGGGAAUCGGGCCGGGCCGUCCAGCGGUGCUGGGGGCUCAUCGGGGGCCAGGCCCGCCACGCUGGGCUACAGCGGUGCCGUGGGGCCACGCCCUAUCACUCAGAGUGAGCUGGCCACCGCCCUCGCCCUCGCCAGCACUCCCGAGAGCAGCGCGGUCACGCCGACCACGGGGAACCAGGGGGCCUCCUCAGGGGUGUCCCCCGUGCCCGCUGGGACGCCCAUCACCAACGACAUCUUCAACCAGGCCCUCCAGCAGGCCCUGCAGGUCUCCAGCAUGUCCUCUCUGCAGGUGAGAGAGGACCCUUCAUAAGGGAGCAUGACCAUGAUGGCCAAAAGGGCUCUGUGGUUGCCAUGCUGUGAGAGUCCCUCAGAGUUUACCAAGUGUGCUGUGGAAAAUGUUCAAAUUCCCGCUCAGGUGACAUAUUGUAACAUUUUAGUGGUUAAUGGGGUCACAUUGUGCCAUGGCUGUUUCUUUUAUCAUACAAAGUGUGCCAUUGCAGAAAAAAGGUUGGGAAACCCUGCUCUGGAGACUUUUACUUAUCUGCAGUUAAAGGAUUUUAAGUUCCAUUAUACAAAGCAGUGGAACAGAAUCCCUAAGCUUUUAAAGUAUUGAACUGUUGGCUGAGUUCUCCUGGUUGUGGCGUUGUGAGUAGCAG